AUAUAUUGAUGUUUAUUGAAUCGAACGUGAGCAACUAGUAUUUUGAUUUCAAAAUAUUUCCAAAUUUUAAUACGAGAUGUAUGAAGAUACACUCUCAAAGUUUCCCCUUUGCAGUCAAGUGUAAUUGAAAUUGUGCGCCGUUCGCGACACGAAUUCAAUUGGAAAAGUAAACAAAUCAGAAAAAGGUAUCUGCGCGACAUUAGCGCAGUCCCAUCGCCAAAAGCUGUCCAAAUGGCAUGAAACUAUGUCGACGGCUUGGUUCCUGUCGAUGAUGUCGGGCCUCCUGGUUCCCGGCCGCUCCAAGCUGCUUUCGAGUCCUGCGAGUGGCGCUGCGGCCGAGUCCUGCCGGAAGCCAAACGCAAAACAUUUCUAAUUUCGGCUCUGAUGUUGAUGAAUGGCGAUGGACAAGAGCAGGUGGCAACGGCAGCGGAAGCGGCCAAAACGCGACAACAAGCCACCCAUCCACACAAUCCCCAAUGACCCAAUGACCCCCCCCCCCCCCCACAAGAGCACCUAUCCACCCACCCAAAUGAAUGGAAAUCGGGAAUGGGGACAGGAGCGAAGGCGACGGCGAUGGGUGGCCAAAUGUCAAUUGUCGGGGCCAAAUCCGGCCCGAUGGGACUUCGAAUGGGUCUGGCGUUGAGAAUGGGGCAGUGGAUAUGGCGAAUGGAACGACCAUUUGUUCAGGAGGCCUCGCGGUGACGUGUCGCAGAAACUUUAGCUUAAAGAGUGCACAACUAAAAAAGAAGUAUAACAUACCUCUCAUUAUGCAACCUUUUCAAAGGUGUUUCAACCAUUGCGAAAUCAUUGUCAAUCAAAAUAUAUUAUAUACGCUUCUUUUAAAUUUCAUAAAAUCGAUGCUGUAUAAUAAUUGAC
ensembl:ncRNA lncRNA:CR45560 long non-coding RNA:CR45560